rnacentral:rRNA from 1 species
GACGGAGGGUGCAAGCGUUGUUCGGAAUUACUGGGCGUAAAGCGCGGGCAGGUGGCCUGUUUAGUCUUUUGUGAAAACCCGGAGCUCAACUCCGCGGAAUGCAGAAGAUACUGGCAGGCUAGAGACCAGUAGAGGCUAGCGGAAUUCCUGGUGUAGCGGUGGAAUGCGUAGAUAUCAGGAAGAACACCUGUGGCGAAGGCGGCUAGCUGGGCUGGAUCUGACACUCAUCCGCGAAAGCGUGGGGAGCAAACAGG